UGCAAUCUGGCAGAAAAAUGCGAUAGAUUUAGGUUCUGUUAAUGGACAAAAUGGUUCGAUUGUAU
rnacentral:tRNA from 1 species